GCGGCACGCCUAACACAUGCAAGUCGAGCGGCAGCGAGACUAGUAGCAAUACUAGUUGUCGGCGAGCGGCGGACGGGUGAGUAACACGUAGGGAUCUGCCCUUAAGCGGGGGAUAACCAAGGGAAACUUUGGCUAAUACCGCAUAAUCUCGCGAGAGCAAAGCUGCCCGCAAGGGUGGCACUUGAGGAGGAGCCCGCGGCCUAUCAGCUUGUUGGUGGGGUAACGGCCCACCAAGGCGACGACGGGUAGCCGGCCUGAGAGGGUGAACGGCCACACUGGGACUGAGACACGGCCCAGACUCCUACGGGAGGCAGCAGUAGGGAAUCUUGCGCAAUGGGCGAAAGCCUGACGCAGCGACGCCGCGUGCGGGACGAAGGCCCUCGGGUUGUAAACCGCUUUCAGCAGGGACGAAGCGAAAGUGACGGUACCUGCAGAAGAAGGUCCGGCCAACUACGUGCCAGCAGCCGCCGUAAGAC
rnacentral:rRNA from 1 species